rnacentral:rRNA from 1 species
CUUGAACGCUGGCGGCAGGCCUAACACAUGCAAGUCGAGCGGAGCGGCGGACGGGUGCGUAAUGCCUAGGCAUCUGCCUGUUCGUGGGGGCUAACGUCCGGAACCGGGCGCUAAUACCGCAUACUAUUAGAUUCGCCUAUUACGGAUUAGCUAGUUGGUGGGGUAAAGGCCUACCAAGGCUACGAUCCGUAACUGGUCUGAGAGGAUGAUCAGUCACCCUGGAACUGAGACACGGGCCAGACUCCUACGGGAGGCAGCAGUGGGGAAUUGUGGAAAAUGGGCGAAAUCCUGAUCCAGCCAUGCCGCGUGUGUGAAGAAGGUCUUCGGAUUGGAAAGCACUUUAAGUUAGGAGGCGUUACCAGCAGAAGAAGCACCGGCUAACUUCGUGCCAGCAGCCGCGGUAAUAC